rnacentral:tRNA from 1 species
GGAGAGAUGGCUCAGUGGUUAAGAGCACUGACUACUCUUCCUAGAGAUCCUGAGUUCAAUUCCCAGUAACCACA